GUGGUAGGGGCAGGAGGGGUGGUGAGAAGGAAGCUGAUUCAAGAGAUGCUUUGUAGGUAGGACCCAGGAGGACCCAGGAGGACCCAGGACGCGCUCCUGGAGCAGACAUAACAGAGACUGGAGGCUGGAGACAGUGCAGCCCCCCUGGAGGUCUGCAUUACAUGUAUUGAAUUUGGAAAAAUGCAAAAUAUUUUCUGGCUCAGGGUUCAUCACGGGGGAGCUGAACAGCGCUCAGCCACACAGCCCCUGCCGACCUGCACAGUGGGUGAGUGGAGCCUGCCUCCGUGGACACUCCUGCCUUCCCCUGAUGCCCCACCAAAGGGGACAGGAGCCAGUUACCUCUGUGGCCCCCUCUCCCACCUUCGGCUCUGAUCCUGAGUCUGCCCGCUUGAGCCUCCUUCCCCAGAACGUUCCGUACCCAUCAGUGCUGCUCACGUGGGCCAGGGGCGCCGCGGUCUGAAAGGUGGGGCAUGGCCAG